GUCGAACGGAGCUGUUUUCUCUGAGUUUUCGGAUGGAAGAGAGUUCAGCUUAGUGGCGAACGGGUGAGUAACACGUGAGCAACCUGCCUUUCAGUGGGGGACAACAUUUGGAAACGAAUGCUAAUACCGCAUAAGACCACAGUGUCGCAUGGCACAGGGGUCAAAGGAUUUAUCCGCUGAAAGAUGGGCUCGCGUCCGAUUAGCUAGAUGGUGAGGUAACGGCCCACCAUGGCGACGAUCGGUAGCCGGACUGAGAGGUUGAACGGCCACAUUGGGACUGAGACACGGCCCAGACUCCUACGGGAGGCAGCAGUGGGGAAUAUUGCACAAUGGGGGAAACCCUGAUGCAGCGACGCCGCGUGGAGGAAGAAGGUCUUCGGAUUGUAAACUCCUGUCCCAGGGGACGAUAAUGACGGUACCCUGGGAGGAAGCACCGGCUAACUACGUGCCAGCAGCCGCGGUAAAACGUAGGGUGCAAGCGUUGUCCGGAAUUACUGGGUGUAAAGGGAGCGCAGGCGGAUUGGCAAGUUGGGAGUGAAAUCUAUGGGCUCAACCCAUAAAUUGCUUUCAAAACUGUCAGUCUUGAGUGGUGUAGAGGUAGGCGGAAUUCCCGGUGUAGCGGUGGAAUGCGUAGAUAUCGGGAGGAACACCAGUGGCGAAGCGGCCUACUGGGCACUAACUGACGCU
rnacentral:rRNA from 1 species